AAAAAAUUAGUUAAUAAUAUAACAUAAGCUUGUCAAGCUUAAAUAACUAGUUAAACUAGUAUUUUUUA
rnacentral:tRNA from 1 species